UGGCAGUGUGGUUAGCUGGUUGUGAGUUGUGUUAAACAGCCACUACCUGCACUGUUUCA
rnacentral:pre_miRNA from 1 species